UACGUAGGGUGCAAGCGUUGUCCGGAAUUAUUGGGCGUAAAGAGCUCGUAGGCGGUCUGUUGCGUCGGCUGUGAAAACCCGGGGCUCAACCCCGGGCCUGCAGCCGAUACGGGCAGACUAGAGUUCGGCAGGGGAGACUGGAAUUCCUGGUGUAGCGGUGAAAUGCGCAGAUAUCAGGAGGAACACCGGUGGCGAAGGCGGGUCUCUGGGCCGAUACUGACGCUGAGGCACGAAAGCGUGGGGAGCAAACAGG
rnacentral:rRNA from 1 species